CCUCAAGUGCUCGCCGCGCGUUCCCGCUGAGGAGCCGGAGAGCGCCGGAAGUUGAGGGCCUAGAGCCCACUGGGGCCAGCUCGCGGCCCUCGGCCUGCCCUCGGCAGAGCCGAGAACAUCCCGGGGCUCUAGUGUUGCGCCGCGGGCCGCUGUUCUCCUGAGAGACAGCUCCCAAUAAAGGCAGUUGCGUGCGUGUGUGCGCGCCUGUGUGCAGUGCUCAAACAGCUCGCUUAAUGUCCAACCUCGCGCGGUAGAUUUAACUCCUGAUGGGGACGGUCUCGGAGAGGUGACUUCCUGGUGUGUGCUGGAGGAGUUUUUUGCCGGCCUGUGGCCACUCACGGUUUCCCUCAAUGGCCUGAAGGACAGAGUUGCCGGUUCCAGGAAUAGGAGACCUCCAUGGUGGGAAGACCUGGCAUCCAGCAGCAGGUGUGGCACCAGGAGAAGAAAGCUGAAAGCUCACAUCUUUAACCCAAGC
rnacentral:lncRNA from 1 species